rnacentral:rRNA from 1 species
GACGAAUGCUGGCGGCGUGCUUCAUACAUGCAAGUCGAACGAGAAUCUGACUUCGGUCAGAGGAAAGUGGCGGACGGGUGAGUAAUAUGUAGGAAAUCUGCCUUAGAGAGGGGGACAACAGAGGGAAACUUCUGCUAAUACCCCAUAUGAGCGUAGCUGAAAUGCUAUUCUUGAAAACUCCGGUGCCCUAAGAUGAGCCCGCGGCCCAUUAGCUUGUUGGUGGGGUCAGGGCCUACCAAGGCAACGAUGGGUAGCUGGUCUGAGAGGACGAUCAGCCACACUGGGACUGAGACACGGCCCAGACUCCUACGGGAGGCAGCAGUGGGGAAUCUUGCGCAAUGCGCGAAAGCGUGACGCAGCAACACCGCGUGAGGGAAGACGGCCUUAGGGUUGUAAACCUCUUUCAGAUGGGACGAAGGUUGUCCGGUGAAUAGCCGAGAUGAUUGACGGUACCGUCAGAAGUAGCUCCGGCUAACUACGUGCCAGCAGCCGCAGUAA